rnacentral:rRNA from 4 species
ACCGGAGUACUAUGAAUAUUAAAAAUUUAAAACUCAAAGAACUUGGCGGUGUUUUAGACCACUCAGGGGAACCUGUCUCAUAAUCGAUAAUCCACGUUGUACCUGACCUUUUUUUGUAUUCAGUUUGUAUACCGUUGUCGUCAGGUAACUUUUUAGAAAUUAGAAGUUAGCAGCAGAAAUAAAAAAUAAUUUAAUACGUCAAAUCAAGGUGCAGCUAAUGAAAAGGGGAGGAUGGGUUACAAUUAUAUAAUUUAUAAUAACGGAUAGGUAUAUGGAGUAUGUAUUAAUUAUAAGGCGGACUUGAAAGUAAAUUAGGUUAUAUAAAUAACUUGAAUGAGGCUCUGAAACGUGU